CCUACGGGAGGCAGCAGUAAGGAAUAUUGGUCAAUGGAGGCAACUCUGAACCAGCCAUGCCGCGUGCAGGAAGACAGCCCUCUGGGUCGUAAACUGCUUUUAUUCGGGAAUAAACCACAUUACGUGUAAUGUGCUGAAUGUACCGAAGGAAUAAGGAUCGGCUAACUCCGUGCCAGCAGCCGCGGUAAU
rnacentral:rRNA from 2 species